UACGUAGGUGACAAGCGUUGUCCGGAAUCACUGGGCGUAAAGGGCGCGUAGGCGGCCCGAUAAGUAGGGGGUGAAAUCUUGCGGCUCAACCGCAAGGCUGCCUUCUAGACUGUCGGGCUUGAGCACAGUAGAGGCAGGUGGAAUUCCCGGUGUAGCGGUGGAAUGCGUAGAGAUCGGGAAGAACAUCGGUGGCGAAGGCGGCCUGCUGGGCUGUUGCUGACGCUGAGGCGCGACAGCGUGGGGAGCAAACAGG
rnacentral:rRNA from 1 species